AGAUGGAAAUGGAUAUCUGGGACACUAUGGAAAUAGCACGUUGUAUUUUGGCAAUCCUGAUGGGCAAGUCUUGAAUCCGGUGGACGCGUACAAACGCUGCUGUGCACGCGGAAUGCAUCUCCUGGAACCUGAAUCAUUGGCCGAACUGACAGACCUUUUAAGACCAUAUACCGAUAGAUUGUAUGGCGCGCUGGCGGUGAUCGGCGACACAAGGUCGAUCAACCAGACGCACGAGGUGUGGUGUCGCAGCGGACAGAUGGUUUCGCAAGACUUAUUCAUCCAAGGAGCUAACUGGUAUCCGUGCUGGCAAUCAGUGGUCAGCGUGAUGUUUGUCUCUCCUCCGUACAUUAUCCACGAGUACUUGGAAAACGAGAACAUCUACAAGAGCUUUCUCAACGGCACGUAUAACGUGCAAAAAUUCCAUACCUAUAUUUGUAUCAAACCGUAGUCGAAAACAAAAAAUGCUUUUCUAUAAAAUUGUUUGGUGUUGG